rnacentral:lncRNA from 1 species
CUGGCGGCCCGAGCGAGGCGGAGGGAUAUACAUCAGAAGAAACCAAAAGCCAGCUGGAAUAGUUCCUGGAUGAGAUUUUAUUCCUGUUUGCAGUUGUUUUGAGGGGGGAUACCCUCUGGAUCAGGUAUGUGUGACUCUACAAGUAGCAGGACUGUGUGAGCUCCUAUAACUCUUCCCUUUGUAUAUGUAGCAAGUUCUAGGGAAAAAGCUAUUGAGGGGGGGAUAUGUAAAAUCAAAAGCUGUGGCUAAUUCACACUGAUAUAUGCUUGCACUUGUCUAACCCCAUUCCUGUGCUGGGAUCAGGAAGUACAAAGACUGUAUUCUUUUUAUUCUAGUUCUUUUUCAACUUCCCAGGGAUGUAAGAAAAAAUGAAAAUGUCUGUUGUAUUUAGAAAGUAUCCGACUUCAGCUCAUGGUUCUAGAAGCUGCAAGAUGUAAAUCCGUGGAUGCUAAAGUCUCGGCAAGGGUCCCCUGGCUAUGGCCCAUCACACUAGGAAACUAGAAAGGGAACUCACAUGUUCAGAAAGAAGCAAUAUUAACACCCCUUCCCUUUUACUUCCCAUAGAUCUCCAUGAUCAGAUAUCUUCUAGGCUCUACUUCUUAAAGGUUCUGUUACCUCACCAUCGCCAUAUUGGGGGUUGAACUUCCAACACUUGAACCUGCUCAGUGUAUCCAACACAUGACGUCAGUAGCAUCUAGUAAUGGUGAUUUUACUUUAUUAGUCUUCCUUUCUGUGCUGCUGUGUUGUGAAUCUUCCCUCUGCCCCAAGGUCAUUAAGGGGAAGGGCAGUGUAAUAAUCACUUUUAUGUUUCUAGUACCUGACUCACUGCAUACACUCAGUUCAUGCUAUGGACAUGGAAAGGCAGUGUCCCUCGGGGGAAGUCUACACCUGUAGAGAACAUGAAAACAUCUCUGAGGAAGCAGCAGAGAGAGAGGAAAAAAAAAAAAAAACAAGGUUCUAGGAAGUGACCAAGUGCUAUUAUAAGUACUGUGUUCAUUAACAGCUUGGACCAGGGAAGGGUAUGGUUGAAAAUCCACAAACUGUCACCAAACUGACACCUGAGCAGAUCCACCCGGAAAACUGUAGAGCAUUUGUUGAGCUAGAUACGCAGACUGAGAGGGCAAAAGCUUUCUAUAUCUGCACUCCUUCCAGACUUACAGUGCCCAUCUCUUCACCCAAAUAUCUGUCCAGCCAAUAUUUGAAGAAUUAUCUAUGAAGGUAUGCCAAAUUACUAACUUACCCAGGCCACCAGCAUCUUGGCUUGAUCCUGUCUCAGAUCCUGUCUCAAGGACCUAUUGUGUUACUUAUUCUAAACUAAAUUGCUCAAAUGUCAGUGUAGAAAAUCCACAAUUAAUUUUUUGUCUGUUUGGUUUUUUGUUUUGGUUUUUUAUUUCCUUUCUUUACUAACAGCAUCCUGGUGGAGUUCAAAGUUCAGAAGUUUAAUAUAUAUUACCUAUUAUAUAGAUAGAAAUAUUUAUAAAACAGGACCGUGGAGGGCUACAUACUGCAGUCUGUGAACCUGAUUGCAUCCAAAACCAGAAUGUUACAGCUAUAAACAUAAGCAUCCUCUUAUUGCUCCAGUACUUUCUCAUAUUAAUAAUAAAAUAAUAGGAAAAUGGAUUUAAGUUCAGUCAGGAGGGAAGGACAUGACAUUGAGUUAUUUGAUUUUUUUUCUUCUUAAUAUGUAUGUUUUUGCUAAGCUAAGAGAAAGAAACUAUUACGUUACUUUAUAGAAAGUCAGCUAAGGCCAUCUGAAAUAUACACAUGG